UGAGUACGAGCUGCUACGGCAGCGAAGUGGGUGAUGUCAAGCUUCCAAGAAAAGCCCUAUACCCGUUAAGGCAUGACGGCCUGUACCCGAAACCGACACAGGUGGGGUGGUAGAGAAUACCGAGGGGCGCGAGAUAACUCUCUCUAAGGAACUCGGCAAGAUGGCCCCGUAACUUCGGGAGAAGGGGUGCCACCGCAAGGUGGUCGCAGUGAAGAGGCCCAGGCGACUGUUUACCAAAAACACAGGUCUCCGCUAAGUCGCAAGACGAUGUAUGGGGGCUGACGCCUGCCCAGUGCCGGAAGGUUAAGGAAGCUGGUCAGCGCAAGCGAAGCUAGCGACUGAAGCCCCGGUGAACGGCGGCCGUAACUAUAACGGUCCUAAGGUAGCGAAAUUCCUUGUCGGGUAAGUUCCGACCCGCACGAAAGGCGUAACGAUCUGGGCGCUGUCUCGGAGAGAGGCUCGGCGAAAUAGAAUUGUCUGUGAAGAUGCGGACUACGUGCACCCGGACAGAAAGACCCUAUGAAGCUUUACUGUAGCUUGGUAUUGUGCCCGGGCUCUGAAUGCGCAGGAUAGGUGGGAGGCUUUGAUCCAUUGCUUGUGGGUGAUGGUGAGCCACUGGUGAGAUACCACUCUUUCAGAGCUAGGGUUCUAACGGUCACCCGUUAUCCGGGGACCGGACAGUAUCAGGUGGGCAGUUUGACUGGGGCGGUCGCCUCCUAAAAGGUAACGGAGGCGCGCGAAGGUUCCCUCAGGCUGGUUGGAAAUCAGCCGACGAGUGUAAAGGCAGAAGGGAGCUUGACUGUGAGACCUACAAGUCGAACAGGGACGAAAGUCGGCCUUAGUGAUCCGACGGUUCUGAGUGGAAGGGCCGUCGCUCAACGGAUAAAAGUUACUCUAGGAUAACAGGCUGAUCUCCCCCAAGAGUUCACAUCGACGGGGAGGUUUGGCACCUCGAUGUCGGCUCAUCGCAACCUGGGGCUGAAGUCGGUCCCAAGGGUUGGGCUGUUCGCCCAUUAAAGCGGUACGCGAGCUGGGUUCAGAACGUCGUGAGACAGUUCGGUCCAUAUCCGGUGCACGCGCAGGAACAUUGAGAGGAUUUCUCCCUAGUACGAGAGGACCGGGAGGAACGCACCUCUGGUGUACCAGUUAUCGUGCCAACGGUAAACGCUGGGUAGCCAUGUGCGGAGCGGAUAACCGCUGAAAGCAUCUAAGUGGGAAGCCCACCUCAAGAUGAGUGUUCCCAUGGCAUAAGCCAGUAAGGUCACGGGAAGAACACCCGUUGAUAGGCUCUACGUGGAAGCGUGGCAACACGUGAAGCGGAGGAGUACUAAUAGACCGAGGGCAUGAC
rnacentral:rRNA from 1 species